UUCUGCUCAAUGAUUUUAAAUAGCCGCAGUACUCUGACUGUGCAAAGGUAGCAUAAUAAGUUGGCUUAUAAUUGAAGUCUGGAAUCAAGGAAUCUUUGGAAAAACGCUGUCUUUUUUAUUCGUGUGAAAUUGUUUAUUAAGUGCAAAUUCUUAAUUAAAUACAAUAGACGAGAAGACCCUAGAAAUUUUUAAAAACCGAAAGAAUCGUUACUUUUUUGUUGGGGCAACAGAGCUACACGCAAAAUUAGCAUUAAGUACACGAAGAAUACAGAUAGAAGAUAAUUACUCUAGGGAUAACAGCAUAAUUAUAGUUUAGUUUGUGACCUCGAUGUUGGACUAGGACCCUUAAUAUUCAAAAGAUUACAAGGUUGGCUCUGUUCGAGCUUUUUAUUCCU
rnacentral:rRNA from 1 species